rnacentral:rRNA from 1 species
UCCGUAGGUGAACCUGCGGAAGGAUCAUUACAGAGUUCAUGCCCUUACGGGUAGAUCUCCCACCCUUGAAUAUUUUACCUUUGUUGCUUUGGCGGGCCGCCUUCGGCCACUGGCUUUUAGCUGGUGAGCGCCCGCCAGAGGACCCUAAACUCUAAAAUUUAUUAUUGUCUGAGAACUAUAUAAUAGUUAAAACUUUCAACAACGGAUCUCUUGGCUCUGGCAUCGAUGAAGAACGCAGCGAAAUGCGAUAAGUAAUGUGAAUUGCAGAAUUCAGUGAAUCAUCGAAUCUUUGAACGCACAUUGCGCCCGCCAGCACUCUGGCGGGCAUGCCUGUCCGAGCGUCAUUUCAACCCUCAGGGCCCCUUCGGGGGACCUGGCGUUGGGGAUCGGCCCGCCCCCGUGCGGCGCCGUCCCCGAAAUAUAGUGGCGGUCUCGCUGCAGCCUCCCCUGCGUAGUAGCACACCUCGCACUGGAGAGCGGCGCGGCCACGCCGUGAAACCCCCCAACUUCUGAAUGUUGACCUCGGAUCAGGUAGGAAUACCCGCUGAACUUAAGCAUAUCAAUAAGGCGGGAGGGGAAGGUCGGACUGGCCAAGGGCACACAGGGGGGGAUA